GAUGAAGAACGUAGUGAAAUGCGAUAAGUAGUGUGAAUUGCAGAAUUCAGUGAAUCAUCGAAUCUUUGAACACACAUUGCGCCCCUUGGUAUUCCAUGGGGCAUGCCUGUUCGAGCGUCAUUUGUACCUUCAAGCUUUGCUUGGUGUUGGGUGUUUGUCCUGAGGGACUCGCCUUAAAGUAAUUGGCAGCCAGUGUUUUGGUUUUGAAGCGCAGCACAAGUCGCGAUUCAAGGCUAUACGCCAGCUUCCACAAGCCUUUUUCACUUUUGACCUCGGAUCAGGUAGGGAUACCCGCUGAACUUAAGCAUAUCAAUAAGCGGAGGA
rnacentral:misc_RNA from 1 species